CAUAAAUAUAGCUGCAAAACUGACUUUAGGCACAUAUUCAUUUCAUCUUGAGCUCAGGAAAACACUUGUGUUCUACUUUCAUCAUCAAGCCAAAAUGAGCGAUAAACAACCAAAAAAGCCAGAACAGAAGGAGGGAUCAGGACCCGGAUGUGAAGGAGAGGAUGGAAAGGGGAAAGGGAAAAGCCAAGAAAAGGGGAAAGGUCACGGACAUGGUCAUGGAGAAGGACAAGGUCAUGGACAUGGAGGAGAAGGACACGGUCAUGGACAUGGAGGAAAAGGAGGCGGUCCAGGUGGAAAAGGCGGCAAGUGAAAGAGACCACUGAGGAGACCCUAAAUAAAAUGAUGAAAAGCCAUUAUUUUGUCAAAAAGAUUAAUGUAUGAUUGUAUUGCAUUCCUCAUUAAAUAAUCUACAAAAUAAAAA